rnacentral:rRNA from 1 species
GACGAACGCUGGCGGCGCGCCUAACACAUGCAAGUCGAACGAGCGGAGGACCUUCGGGUCCAAAGCUAGUGGCGGACGGGUGAGUAACACGUGAGGAACCUGCCUUUCAGAGAGGGAUACCGUUUGGAAACGAACGUUAAUACCUCAUAACGUAUGAUGAUCGCAUGGUCGACAUACCAAAGAUUUAUCGCUGAGAGAUGGCCUCGCGUCUGAUUAGAUAGUUGGUGAGGUGACGGCCCACCAAGUCUGCGAUCAGUAGCCGGACUGAGAGGUUGAUCGGCCACAUUGGGACUGAGACACGGCCCAGACUCCUACGGGAGGCAGCAGUGGGGGAUAUUGCACAAUGGGCGAAAGCCUGAUGCAGCGACGCCGCGUGAGGGAAGACGGUUUUCGGAUUGUAAACCUCUGUCUUCGGGGACGAAAAUGACGGUACCCGAGGAGGAAGCCACGGCUAACUACGUG